rnacentral:rRNA from 1 species
AUUGAACGCCGGCGGCAGGCUUAACACAUGCAAGUCGAGCGGUAGCAGGCCUUCGGGUGCUGACGAGCGGCGAACGGGUGAGUAACGCGUAGGAAUCUGCCUGGUAGAGGGGGAUAGCCCGGGGAAACUCGGAUUAAUACCGCAUACGCCCUACGGGGGAAAGCAGGGGAUCUUCGGACCUUGCGCUCUCAGAUGAGCCUGCGUCGGAUGAGCUAGGUGGUAGGGUAAAGGCCUACCAAAGCGACGAUGCGUUACUGGUCUGAGAGGAUGAUCAGUCACACUGGAACUGAGACAAGGUCCAGACUCCUACGUGAGGCAGCAGUGGGGAAUAUUGGACAAUGAGGUAAACCCUGAUCCAGCCAUGCCGCGUGUGUGAAGAAGGCCUUCGGGUUGUAAAGCACUUUAAGCAGGGAGGAAAGGGUAGUGGCUAAUAUCCAUUAUCAUUGACGUUACCUGCAGAAUAAGCACCGGCUAACUUCGUGCCAGCAGCCGCAGUAAAAC